rnacentral:snoRNA from 1 species
UCCCUCUCUGGAAGGGGUGAUGUGUCAGCACAGAGCCCAAGAUAAGGACUCUGACUGCAUUUGCAUGUGAUGAAACUUGCUGAGUAUUCUGACCUUCCGUGGUGCGGG